rnacentral:rRNA from 1 species
GGUCUUUAGAUUUUUAUUUAAGAUCGGGCCUGCCCAUUGAUUUGAAAAAUUAAAAGGCUGCGGUAUUUUAACUGUACGAAGGUAGCAUAAUCAUUUGUCUUUUAAUUGAAGGCUAGAAUGAAUGGUUUGAUGAGAAAUAAGCUUUCUUUUUUUAAUUAAUUUGAAUUUAAUUUUUUAGUUAAAAAGCUAAAAUUUUUUUAUAGGACGAGAAGACCCUAUAGAAGUUUACUAUAUUAAUAAUUUUUUGUUUUUUGUUGUUAAAAUAUUUUUUUAAAUUAUAUAGUUUUGUUGGGGUGACAUUAAAAUUUAUUUAACUUUUAAUUUUUAUUUCAUUAGUUUAUGUUUUUUUGAUCCAGUAUUUAUUGAUUAAAAGUUUAACUUACCUUAGGGAUAACAGCGUAAUUUUUUCGGAGAGUUCAUAUCGAUGAAUAAAGUUUGCGA